AGUGAACGCUGGCGGUAGGCCUAACACAUGCAAGUCGAACGGCAGCACAGGAGAGCUUGCUCUCUAGGUGGCGAGUGGCGGACGGGUGAGGAAUACAUCGGAAUCUGCCCAGUCGUGGGGGAUAACGUAGGGAAACUUACGCUAAUACCGCAUACGACCUUCGGGUGAAGGAGGGGGAUCGCAAGACCUCUCGCGAUUGGAUGAGCCGAUGUCGGAUUAGCUAGUUAGCGGGGUAAUGGCCCACCAAGGCGACGAUCCGUAGCUGGUCUGAGAGGAUGAUCAGCCACACUGGAACUGAGACACGGUCCAGACUCCUACGGGAGGCAGCAGUGGGGAAUAUUGGACAAUGGGCGCAAGCCUGAUCCAGCCAUACCGCGUGGGUGAAGAAGGCCUUCGGGUUGUAAGCCCUUUUGUUGGGAAAGAAAUCUUUCAGGCUAAUACCCUGGGAGGAUGACGGUACCCAAAGAAUAAGCACCGGCUAACCUCGUG
rnacentral:rRNA from 1 species